rnacentral:rRNA from 1 species
CCUACGGGCGGCAGCAGUGAGGAAUAUUGGUCAAUGGGCGUAAGCCUGAACCAGCCAAGUCGCGUGAGGGAUGAAGGUUCUAUGGAUCGUAAACCUCUUUUAUAAGGGAAUAAAGUGUGGGACGUGUCCUGUUUUGUAUGUACCUUAUGAAUAAGGAUCGGCUAACUCCGUGCCAGCAGCCGCGGUAAUACGGAGGAUCCGAGCGUUAUCCGGAUUUAUUGGGUUUAAAGGGUGCGUAGGCGGCCUUUUAAGUCAGCGGUGAAAGUUUGUGGCUCAACCAUAGAAUUGCCGUUGAAACUGGGAGGCUUGAGUAUGUUUGAGGCAGGCGGAAUGCGUGGUGUAGCGGUGAAAUGCUUAGAUAUCAUGCAGAACCCCGAUUGCGAAGGCAGCCUGCCAGGCCAUGACUGACGCUGAUGCACGAAAGCGUGGGGAUCAAACAGGAUUAGAUACCCCAGUAGUC